CGACUGUUGAGGAGUCCCAUAAUAGAACGAAACGGCCGUCCAGUGC
rfam:Schistosoma rodhaini strain Burundi genome assembly, scaffold: SROB_scaffold0004772